rnacentral:rRNA from 1 species
UACGUAGGCAGCGAGCGUUGUUCGGAGUUACUGGGCGUAAAGAGUGCGUAGGCGGUUUUCUAAGUUUGGUGUGAAAUCUCCCGGCUCAACUGGGAGGGUGCGCCGAAGACUGGAAGGCUUGAGUAUGGGAGAGGUAAGCGGAAUUCCUGGUGUAGCGGUGAAAUGCGUAGAUAUCGGGAAGAACACCUAUGGCGAAGGCAGCUCUCUGGGACGGUACUGACGCUGAGACGCGAAAGCGUGGGGAGCGAACAGG